ACAGGUUAAAAGUCCCAUUCCAGGAUCAACCACAGAUAUGUAGUAUUCUGUGGUGAUUUUACCGCACUGCAGUCCACGGUUACUUUCCAGGACACGCUCUCAGUACCAGCACCCUCUGCUGAAAGACUUCCUCGAUGCAGCCCAAGGCCCAGCCGUCAGUAGCCCUGAU